rnacentral:rRNA from 1 species
UACGUAGGGACCAAGCGUUGUUCGGAUUUACUGGGCGUAAAGGGCGCGUAGGCGGCGUGACAAGUCACUUGUGAAAUCUCCGGGCUUAACUCGGAACGGCCAAGUGAUACUGUCGUGCUAGAGUGCAGAAGGGGCAAUCGGAAUUCUUGGUGUAGCGGUGAAAUGCGUAGAUAUCAAGAGGAACACCUGAGGUGAAGACGGGUUGCUGGGCUGACACUGACGCUGGAGGCGCGAAAGCUAGGGGAGCGAAUGGG